GAUGAACGCUGGCGGCGUGCCUAAUACAUGCAAGUCGAGCGAACUGAUUAGAAGCUUGCUUCUAUGACGUUAGCGGCGGACGGGUGAGUAACACGUGGGCAACCUGCCUGUAAGACUGGGAUAACUUCGGGAAACCAAAGCUAAUACCGGAUAGGAUCUUUUCCUUCAUGGGAGAUGAUUGAAAGAUGGUUUCGGCUAUCACUUACAGAUGGGCACGCGGUGCAUUAGCUAGUUGGUGAGGUAACGGCUCACCAAGGCAACGAUGCAUAGCCGACCUGAGAGGGUGAUCGGCCACACUGGGACUGAGACACGGCCCAGACUCCUACGGGAGGCAGCAGUAGGGAAUCUUCCGCAAUGGACGAAAGUCUGACGGAGCAACGCCGCGUGAGUGAUGAAGGCUUUCGGGUCGUAAAACUCUGUUGUUAGGGAAGAACAAGUACAAGAGUAACUGCUUGUACCUUGACGGUACCUAACCAGAAAGCCACGGCUAACUACGUGCCAGCAGCCGCGGUAAGAC
rnacentral:rRNA from 1 species